rnacentral:tRNA from 1 species
GUGGCUGUAGCUCAGUGGUAGAGCGCUGGUUUGUGGAACCGGAUGUCGCGGGUUCGAAUCCCGUCAGUCACC